AAUCCUCGGGGGACCACCAGUGGGCGAAGGCGCUUGACGAGAACGGACCUGACGGUGAGGGGCGAAGGCGUAGGGGAGCGAUCGGGAUUAGAAACCCCC
rnacentral:rRNA from 1 species